rnacentral:rRNA from 1 species
UACGGGGGGGGCAAGCGUUGUUCGGAAUUACUGGGCGUAAAGGGCUCGUAGGUGGCCAACUAAGUCAGACGUGAAAUCCCUCAGCUUAACUGGGGAACUGCGUCUGAUACUGGAUGGCUUGAGUUUGGGAGAGGGAUGCGGAAUUCCAGGUGUAGCGGUGAAAUGCGCAGAUAUCAGGAGGAACACCGGUGGCGAAGGCGGAUCUCUGGGCCAUUACUGACGCUGAGGAGCGAAAGCGUGGGGAGCGAACAGG